rnacentral:lncRNA from 1 species
AACAGUGUCCUGUGAGAUAGGAAGUGACAAAUACCAACCUGAUGGUGCAGAAGAAAUCAAGAUAAGAGGGAUGCGUGUGUGAGGAGAAAGAUUUUCUACAAUGUCUGAAUGAAUUAAUGCAGAACACUGCUCACAAAUUUAAGGAACCAGGUCAUGAGGCACAAACUGGAAAUUCUCCUUAGAGUUUUUGUUAUGAGACUUUAUGGUGGAGAGUUAACACUAGCAUGCAUUGCCAAAGAUUAGGCCAACUGUAUGAGUUUCCUGUUGCUGCCGUAAGAAAUUACCACAAAUUUAGUGACCCAAAACAAUACUAAUUUAUUAUGUUACAGUUCUGGAGGUCAGAAGUCCAAAAUCAGUCUAACUGGACUAAAGUCGAGGUGUCAGCAGGGAUGGUUCCUUUUGGAGGCUCUGAGGACAGAAUCCAUUCCCUUCCCUUUUUGAGUGAUUCUAGAGGCUGCCUGCAUUCCUUGGCUCAUGGCCUCUUCCUCCAUCUUCAAAGCCAGCAAUGACGGAUUGAGUCCUUCUCACAUCAAAUUACGCUGACACUAACUCCCCUGCCUUUCUCUUAUAAAGCCUGUUAUGAUUACAUUGGACCCACCUGGAUAAUCCAGGAUAAUCUCCCCAUCUUAAGAUCUUUAAUUGAAUCACAUCUGCAAAGCCUCUUUUGCCAUGUAAGGUAACAUAUUCAUUCAUAGGUUCCUGGCAUUGGGACAUGGACAUCUUUGGGAGCCAUUAUUCUGCCUACCACACCAGCCACACUGCGAGUUUCAAUGGACUGUAGGGAUGGCAGUUUAGCAGGUAAACGUUAUGAUUUCUUUUAAAGUAUCAAGUUUAUGGCACCUCCUGGGGGCUCCUGAGUUACUUUUGCCUACUGUUACUUUUCCCCACAUAGGGCCAAUCUUGUUUUACAGAUGAGGAAACAGAAGCCCAAAGAGCUAAAUGAUCAUCUCCAGCAACCCUCCAGUGUGAUGAAGGCAGGUGUAAGUCUGGAACAUGGACCCUUGAUAGGCUGCCAGCAUGUUUCUCACCUUUCUCCAGUGCCUCCUCUCCAGGAAGUGUGUUCUAAAGAGAUGUCAGAGUCACAGUCAAGAGCUGUCAUCAAGAAGAGGCAAUACAUCUUAGUGUCUACUUUGAAAAGAGGAAGACAAAUCCCAUGGCUAUAGACAAAAAUCUCAGGACCAUAGAAUUUCAAAAUUGGAAUGGUUUUUGGGAGUCAUCUGAUUCAUCCUCCCAUUUUGAUUAAAUUGCCAGCCCGCAACAACCCAGUGGUGAGCUGAGAACAGAACUCAGGACUGACACCCAUUGCCUUGUUGUGAAGAAAGAGAGUAUGUAAGGCAAUUUUUUCCUUGUAUGAAGACUCUCAGAGAACAAAUGUAAGGCUAUGUAAAUAGAAAUGCAUGCUUUUCUUUAUUUCAUAUACAUUACACAUAUAUAUAUCUGUCUCUAAAUUAUUCUUCAAAAUUUCAACUUAAUAUAAAGUUGUAUAAAUAAUGCAGUUUUAUAAAGUUGUAAAUAAUAUAAAGUUUCUGGUCUGAAAAUUCUUACCCUCAAAAUAAAUCCUUAUUCACCAUAUGGCA